UUUACUAUUUUGAAGUACAUCUCACAGGAUGGAUAUUCAUCAAUUCAGUGUUCUAUAAGGUCGUUAUUUUUCAGUUUGUGUGCUAUUCAAUCGGUAAGUUAAAUAUUUAGUACCUCAUUCAAAUGAUUAAAAUUCUUUGAAAUUCAUGUUUAGGAUAUAAUACGUCUUCUGUUGGACAGAUGGAACAUCAAGAAUUGUUUAAAAAACUGCUCCCCGCUGGGAGACUAGGUGCAAGAAUUUGGAAAACCACCUUCAUCAUUUAUUGUUGGGACACUUGGGCGACAGUUGGAUUAUCCUGUCCGAAAAAGUCUUCAUACCAUUUUAUCUGUGCUGCAAUUUACUAAAGACAUCAUCGAUCAUCCCCUAACAGAAAGCACACGAACGACCGAUCUCGAAAAAAGAUGAGGCAGAGAUCGAAGCUCUUCCGAUUCCAGCAAUUCUAGAUUGAAAAAUUUAAGCUGAAACGGAACUGGAGAUUGAAAAGGAUUCCUUUGGACCUAAGCUACCGUACAGCUGGCUCAGAAUUUGUUCCCCCGGGAAUGUACAUAGAUAGCUGUGAUGAAGCUAGGGCAGAAAGAGUCCCGAGACCGAAACAAACUACGCCCUACGUACGAACGAUUU